UCUGCGCCUUCUUUCUUCUUCCUUUCUUUUACACACUCACAAUUUUUAUUCUAUCUCCGGUGCUCAAGCCUGCAAACAUAUUUUUCAACGUUUCGCAUUUAUUCACUUACUUCUGAUAGAUGCUUUAAUCGUUAGCUUUAUAUUUUCAGAAAAUUUCUCUGCUUUUUCUGAACAAACUUCAUUCGUUGUGCCACCUAUGUUAUAACAGUAAUAUCGCAAAUUGUCUUGUAUUUUGUAACUUAUGGAAGUAAAGUAACUACUGGACACACUUUUCGUUUAAAGUUUCGUUCCUCCUUUUAAUAUAUUUAUAAUGAACACCAAUGCAUGUCUUUGGUCUGUAAAAAUUUUCAGCUAUAUAUAUGCUGCUGCUCUGACAUAGUAAACAUUGAACUUUGAAACACGAUUAUCUAAGAAAGAGAAAAAUAAUGCAUGGUUGAGAAAAGAAAAAGAAAACUUUCUUUGACUCAUAACACUUUGAAAUGUGUGCCAUGAAUUUACUGAUACAACGUAUAUUCAAACAUGCAUUUACUUUACUCUCGAAGUCUUCCAUAAGUUACAAAACACUAGACAAGACUAUGGUAAAUUGCAAUAUUAUACUGCUAUAACAUAGGUGGCUCAACGAACAAAGUUUCUUCAGAAAAAGCAGAAAAACUUUUUGAAAAUAUAAAGCUAACAACUAAAGCAUCUGUCAGAAGUAAGUAAAUUUUUUCGUGGUUUCCAAUAAUGCAGUCUGCAUUGGAAUUCUAUGACUGAUCUGAGACAUGGUUAAAUGAUAAGCAAUGCAUGUGUUUGAUCUGAGACAGCAUCAGGAAUCCACCGAUGAUUCUACCAAUUAUCGUUUUGAUCUGAGACAGUGUAAUUAAGGAAUCCACCGAUGAUGCUGCCAAUUAACGUUUUUGGUGUAUCCUUAUGAAUCCAGCCAUGAGUUCUGCUGGCGAAGAGGACCAUCGCCUUAAUAAGAGUGCCGCACAGUUUGCCAUAUGUAGAAGGAUUCAACGUUGUACCAAUCAAAAUCUCUUAAAUAUCAUAAAUAUUUUAUUUUUAUA